ACAUGGGUAUUCAGUGGAAGGACUUCAGGCUUGAAUUAAAAGAAAUAUAUGAUAAAUCAAUAACGAUUGAUGAAUGCUUUGCAAAACGUGAUGUCCAUGUUCUAUUGGAUCAAUGAAAAUACCUUAUAGAUAUGUGGGGUGAUGUGAAGUAUCAGGUAAUGAUGCCUAUACAAACCUGUUACAUGUUUUCGUAUUUGCUUCUCGAAUAUUGUAUGAUUUGUGUUUUCACUAUGAUAGGAAAUGUGUUCGCGGAAUAAAGAGAAUACAAAGCAAUAGAAAAUGAGUCACACUGCGGGCUGACAAAGUUUUGCCCAAGUUUUUGAUGAAAAGGUUGACAUAAUUGAGAUGAAUUUCUCUUAUUCUAAGGGUUUAUGAGAUAGAAAAUGAGGGCAUUAUGCUAAUAGGAGAAGUGAAUGAGAUCCAAGACCUUUACAAAUCAAAUUUGAUUUACAUUUCACGUGAUAGGAAAAAUGUAUCUUGCUACUUUGAGUACAAUGGUUUCAUAGUGUUUUCAAUUUCUUUUGCUUAGGCUUAGAGAACUGAGUCUAUAGAACAAUAUUUUGAAAUGAUCCACAAUCAUCUUCUCUUUUGUCAAAACUUGUUUAAUCAUCUCAAUCAUUUCCUCUUUUGUCAA